rnacentral:rRNA from 1 species
CGGACCGGCGCACGGGUGCGUAACGCGUAUGCAACCUACCUUUAACAGGGGAGUAACACUGAGAAAUUGGUACUAAUACCCCAUAAUAUCAUAGAAGGCAUCUUUUAUGGUUGAAAAUUCCGAUGGUUAGAGAUGGGCAUGCGUUGUAUUAGCUAGUUGGUGGGGUAACGGCUCACCAAGGCGACGAUACAUAGGGGGACUGAGAGGUUAACCCCCCACACUGGUACUGAGACACGGACCAG